ACGCCUCAGUUCGCAGCGCACAGGCAGCAGAGGGGAUUCUCCUGCGGCGGCGUGGGCAAUUUUCUCUGGCGGCAGCGCGUUUCUUGGUGGAGGCGUGGGGCUGAGGAGAGAUGAUGGCGAUGGCUGAUGACGGAUUCGCGACGGUGGGCGAGGUGAGGUGCAUGGCGCGGCGAAUAUCUUGGUAGCGGGCGAUGGGAGUGAGGGUGACGGUAGCCGGUGGGUGGGAACGGCAACUUCUGCUUCUCUCUAGCGCUCCCCGGCGACAUCAUUCGCUGCCUAGCUACCCUCAGCCACCUCUUCCGUCCGCCCACUCCUCGCAUCCUGCUCCCUAUGACCUACCGUCGUUGUAGUUCAUGUAUCCUUACAGCCGAGCUUAUCCAUGUGAACUGACGCAUUGCUAAUGUUCACAUGUAUUCUGUAAUAAAAAAAUGGCAGGAACUACGAAGUGGCGUUCAGUUGCAGUGGCAGUCACCUAGCUGAUGGAUAGACAAGCAGCUCCAAGGAGAGCACCAACACAUUUAACGUGUUAAACAGAUUGGUACGUGAAUAUGUUAUACUCCAUCCGUCCCAUAAUAUAAGAACAUUUUUGACACUACACCAGUGUCAACAACGGUCUUAUAUUAUGGGACAGAGGGAGACAGGGAAUAGUAGUUUAAUCUUUGAAAUUGGGAAGAUGCCAAGUGGCAAAAUUACAUUCUUCAGACGAUGAAACUGUUAGUUUAGUUUCGUGUUACUUUUCCUUGAUGUUGGAAACAACUAUAACAUGUGCAGUUCACUGCCUACCUCAUUUGGUAUCUUCUUUGCA